rnacentral:rRNA from 1 species
GAUGAACGCUAGCGGCGUGGAUAAGGCAUGCAAGUCGAACGCCCCAGCAAUGGGGAGUGGCAAACGGGUGAGGAAUACGUUGAUUACCUACCUUGAAGUUUGGGAUAACUUCGUGAAAACGAUGCUAAUACCAAAUGGUUCCCGCAAGGGUAAAGAUUUAUCGCUUCAAGAAGGGUUGACGCACUAUCAGCUAGUUGGUGAGGUAAAGGCUCACCAAGGCUAUGACGGUUAGGAGGCUCGAGAGGGUAUUCUCCCACAUUGGCACUGAGACACUGGCCAAACUCCUACGGGAGGCAG